CCUACGGGGUGCUGCAGUGAGGAAUAUUGGUCAAUGGACGCGAGUCUGAACCAGCCAAGUAGCGUGAAGGAUGACUGCCCUAUGGGUUGUAAACUUCUUUUAUAUGGGAAUAAAAUGUUCCACGUGUGGGGUUUUGUAUGUUCCCUAUGAAUAAGGAUCGGCUAACUCCGUGCCAGCCGCCGCGGGAAUACGGAGGAUCCGAGCGUUAUCCGGAUUUUUUGGGUUUAAAGGGGGCGGUGGUGGAUUGUUUAGUUAGUUGUGAAAGUUUGCGGCUCAAACGUAGAAUUGCCGUUGAAACUGGCAGUCUUGAGUACAGUAGAGGUGGGCGGAAUGCGUGGUGUAGCGGUGAAAUGCUUAGAUAUCACGAAGAACUCCGAUUGCGAAGGCAGCUCACUGGACUGCAACUGACACUGAGGCACGAAAGUGUGGGUAUCAAACAGGAUUAGAUACCCUAGUAGUC
rnacentral:rRNA from 1 species